CACAAUAUUCUAUGGAAUAUCUCUGAUUUCAUCAACUACAAUAUGACAUGGAAGGCCCUCAAAUUGAUCAUGAGCUUGGUUGGUUCAUCGGCUCUAAAGAAUCUUCCGAAGCUGCUCGUAAGCACCGCCACCCAAGCCACCAUCCAACAUUCGAAUAAAAUGCACAAGGGUGUGGAACCGCCUAUCCAAGCUUGGCUCCAAAGGUGUUAGUUAGCAUCUCUGAAUCCCAGUGAUGGACAUAACACCAUUUUUUCCUGCUGUUGCUCUUUCUUCUCCAUGUCCGCACGAGAGUCCUAGUAUCCGAAGCCGGUCCCCUCUUCCCCUCUUUGAAACCGACACUUCCCUUGCUGCUAUUUGGAGAAAGAACAAAAUGAUCGUUCACUUUGCUCCCCCAACCGGAUCACCCCCGGCCACAAUCCUCUUCCAGAACCAGUGCUCUCUCCAC